rnacentral:rRNA from 1 species
GGUUAAUGAGGCGAACCGGGGGAACUGAAACAUCUAAGUACCCCGAGGAAAAGAAAUCAACCGAGAUUCCCCCAGUAGCGGCGAGCGAACGGGGAGGAGCCCAGAGCCUGAAUCAGCAUGUGUGUUAGUGGAAGCGUCUGGAAAGGCGCGCGAUACAGGGUGACAGCCCCGUACACAAAAGCGCAUGUGCUGUGAGCUCGAUGAGUAGGGCGGGACACGUGGUAUCCUGUCUGAAUAUGGGGGGACCAUCCUCCAAGGCUAAAUACUCCUGACUGACCGAUAGUGAACCAGUACCGUGAGGGAAAGGCGAAAAGAACCCCGGCGAGGGGAGUGAAAAAGAACCUGAAACCGUGUACGUACAAGCAGUGGGAGCACAGGUUUACCUGUGUGACUGCGUACCUUUUGUAUAAUGGGUCAGCGACUUAUAUUCUGUAGCAAGGUUAACCGAAUAGGGGAGCCGGAGGGAAACCGAGUCUUAAUUGGGCGUUAAGUUGCAGGGUAUAGACCCGAAACCCGGUGAUCUAGCCAUGGGCAGGUUGAAGGUUGGGUAACACUAACUGGAGGACCGAACCGACUAAUGUUGAAAAAUUAGCGGAUGACCUGUGGCUGGGGGUGAAAGGCCAAUCAAACCGGGAGAUAGCUGGUUCUCCCCGAAAGCUAUUUAGGUAGCGCCUCGUGAAUUCAUCUCCGGGGGUAGAGCACUGUUUCGGCUAGGGGGCCAUCCCGGCUUACCAACCCGAUGCAAACUGCGAAUACCGGAGAAUGUUAUCACGGGAGACACACGGCGGGUGCUAACGUCCGUCGUGAAGAGGGAAACAACCCAGACCGCCAGCUAAGGUCCCAAAGUCAUGGUUAAGUGGGAAACGAUGUGGGAAGGCCCAGACAGCCAGGAUGUUGGCUUAGAAGCAGCCAUCAUUUAAAGAAAGCGUAAUAGCUCACUGGUCGAGUCGGCCUGCGCGGAAGAUGUAACGGGGCUAAACCAUGCACCGAAGCUGCGGCAGCGACGCUUAUGCGUUGUUGGGUAGGGGAGCGUUCUGUAAGCCUGUGAAGGUGGCCUGUGAGGGUUGCUGGAGGUAUCAGAAGUGCGAAUGCUGACAUAAGUAACGAUAAAGCGGGUGAAAAGCCCGCUCGCCGGAAGACCAAGGGUUCCUGUCCAACGUUAAUCGGGGCAGGGUGAGUCGACCCCUAAGGCGAGGCCGAAAGGCGUAGUCGAUGGGAAACGGGUUAAUAUUCCCGUACUUGGUGUUACUGCGAAGGGGGGACGGAGAAGGCU